rnacentral:lncRNA from 1 species
UUGCUGACAUCGUACCAGUGGCGGUGGAACAAGUAUUUGAUAUCCAGCGGCGGUACAAGGGCUUGGCGGAUUAGUUCCUGAAUUCAACUAUGAAUGUGUUUCUUUGAUUGGAAUGAUAGAUCAAUGGAGAAGAAAAUAGAGAGAUUUGAAUAAGUUUUUUUUUCUUCUCUGUAAAAAGGAAAUGAUUAAGGCAAAAAAAUAACUUUAGCUUUUUUUUU